GCCGGGACCACCCGGUAAGGCUAAAUACUCCCAAGAGACCGAUAGUGAACCAGUACCGUGAGGGAAAGGUGAAAAGAACCCCGAACAGGGGAGUGAAAUAGAACCUGAAACCAUACGCUUACAACCGGUCGGAGCAGCUUCGUGCUGUGACGGCGUGCCUAUUGAAUAAUGAGCCUACGAGUUACUAAUCACUGGCGAGGUUAAGUGCACGGAUGCACGGAGCCGAAGCGAAAGCGAGUCUGAACAGGGCGGCUAGUCAGUGGUUGUAGACGCGAAACCUUGCGAUCUACCCUUGAGCAGGUUGAAGGUUGGGUAAAACCAACUGGAGGACCGAACGAAUAAGCGUUGAAAAGCUUCUCGAUGACUUGAGGGUAGGGGUGAAAGGCUAAUCAAGCUGGGAAAUAGCUCGUACUCCCCGAAAUGCCUUUAGGGGCAGCGUUGUAAUUAAGAGUCUACUGGAGGUAGAGCUACUGAUUGGAUGCGGGGGCUUCACCGCCUACCAAAUCCUGACAAACUCCGAAUGCCAGUAGUAUGAUUUACAGCAGUGAGCGACCGGGUGCUAAUGUCCGGUUACGAGAGUGGAACAACACAGACCAGCAACUAAGGUCCCGAAGAGUAUACUAAGUUGAUCUAACGAUGUUUUGCUGCAGAGACAGCUAGGAUGUUAGCUUGGAAGCAGCUAUUCAUUCAAAGAGUGCGUAACAGCUCACUAGUCGAGCGGCAAAGCGUGGAUAAUAAACGGGCAUCAAGUAUACCACCGAAGUUCUGGGCACGAAAGUGCGGUAGGGGAGCAUUCCAUUCCGCGUUGAAGCCGAACCGUGAGGUUUGGUGGAGUGUAUGGAAAAGCAAAUGUAGGCAUGAGUAACGAUAAUGCGGGAGAGUAACCCGCACACCGCAAGACCAAGGUUUCCUGAUCAACGCUAAUCGGAUCAGGGUUAGUCGGGUCCUAAGGGUAAGCCGAACGGUGAUCUCGAUGGACAAUCGGUUAAUAUUCCGAUACUAACAUAUACCUCGAUGGAGAGACGAAGGAACGUAAGUGACGCCGCCUGACGGAAUAGGUGGUUAAAGGGCGUAGGUAUAGGGACAGAUUAAGAGUUAGUCCUUGCUGAAAUCCGACAGUACGGAGCGGCUACGGCCAAUCUGAUAGUUCACCCAAGUCGACUUCCGAGAAAAUCUUCUAAGUUAUAGUAUAUGUUACCCGUACCGUAAACCGACACAGGUGGUCGAGGAGAGUAUCCUAAGGUGCUCGAGUGAAUCACGGUUAAGGAACUAGGCAAAUUAACCCCGUAACUUCGGGAAAAGGGGUCCCUACGCGAGUAGGGCGCAGCGAAGAGGUCCAGGCGACUGUUUAUCAAAAACACAGGGCUCUGCAAAUUCGAAAGAAGACGUAUAGGGCCUGACACCUGCCCGGUGCUGGAAGGUUAAGAGGGGAUGUCAUCGCAAGAGAAGCAUUGAAUCGAAGCCCCAGUAAACGGCGGCCGUAACUAUAACGGUCCUAAGGUAGCGAAAUUCCUUGUCGGGUAAGUUCCGACCUGCACGAAUGGUGUAACGAUCUGGACACUGUCUCAACCGUGAGCUCGGUGAAAUUGUAGUCCCGGUGA
rnacentral:rRNA from 1 species